rnacentral:rRNA from 1 species
AGUUCGGAUCGCAGUCUGCAACUCGACUGCGUGAAGGUGGAGUCGCUAGUAAUCGCGGAUCAGCAACGCCGCGGUGAAUGCGUUCCCGGGCCUUGUACACACCGCCCGUCAAGUCAUGAAAGUGGGCAGCACCCGAAGACGGUGGCCUAACCCUUGUGGGGGAGCCGUCUAAGGUGAGGCUCGUGAUUGGGACUAAGUCGUAACAAGGUAAC